ACUUUCUGACGGCUCGGGUGGAGAGAAGUCUCUCAAGACUCCGGUGUGAAAAGACGAUGCGAGUGCGCGGAGACUUAACCGGGACUGCAUGGAGCAGAGGUGAUCCAUGUGUCAAAGAGGAAACUAAACCUGGAUGAAAAGACUUGCACUGCAGGCACUACACUGCAUAGGAAUUGGAGUUCAGGCUCGUCACUGAAGUUGUACAGUGGACCACACUGUGGUCCUUCCCAGGUAUGUCAAUUUUGGUAUUGUGGGGUUUUUUUUCUGAUCAAUGAUGACUUAUUGUCAAAUAAGGACUGUUGGAUGAAGCUUGCGGAUAUGGGACUGAGAUCAGCACUCUGUUUUGUGUGUUAUGUAGUGUCUUGGUCCACUCUAAUGGCAGUUUUUCUCAUGCAGGGAUCUCAAAUCUGCAGCAAGUGGUGACUAUGGGCCAGUGUCUCGAGAUGCGAGACUCCGACAUGGCUCUCUGGAAUGUUUUUCCACUGCUGACUUGGUGUACUAUUAUUUUUAAAUAUUACAGUGAAAGGCAGGCAAGAAAUGGGAGUGGUAUGAUACGCAGCUAGUAUCGAACCA